GGAGAAUCGUAAGUUUGAGGCCAGCUUUGGCAACUUAGGAAGGCUCUGUCUCAAAAGAAAAAAUAAAAAGAACUGGGGAUAUAAAUCAGUGGCAAAACGCCUCUGUUCAAUUCCAGGACUACUGCUGCUGUUGCUGCUAUUACUACUAAUUAUUAUUAUUAUUAUUAUUAUUAUUAUUUGUGUUUACGUUGAGCUUGGGUACUCUAAUGCCUCUCUUUUCUGGAGGCCCCUGCUAAGUGCUUCCACAUGUCAGGUUAUAGUUAGGAACUAGGAAGGGCUUUCAAACUGUGAAGAGAAAUAACAAAGAUGUCCCAGGGAGGCUGCCUUCUGGGGCCCUUGCACUGUCUUCUGUCAGCAUGAUCUUUUUUGUGCCCCAUAAGGUAGAGUUGGGUGUCCUGAUUAUUUCCCUGUUAGGGGACAUGACAUUAAAUUAGUGUUCCUCUUACUUGUACCCAUAGG
rnacentral:lncRNA from 1 species